AUUGAACGCUGGCGGCAGGCCUAACACAUGCAAGUCGAGCGGAUGAGGAAAGCUUGCUUUUCGAUUCAGCGGCGGACGGGUGAGUAAUGCCUAGGAAUCUGCCUGUUAGUGGGGGAUAACUCGGGGAAACUCGGGCUAAUACCGCAUACGUCCUACGGGAGAAAGUGGGGGAUCUUCGGACCUCACGCUAACAGAUGAGCCUAGGUCGGAUUAGCUAGUAGGUGAGGUAAUGGCUCACCUAGGCGACGAUCCGUAACUGGUCUGAGAGGAUGAUCAGUCACACUGGAACGGAGACACGGGCCAGACUCCUACGGGAGGCAGCAGUGGGGAAUAUUGGACAAGGGGCGAAAGCCUGAUCCAGCCAUGCCGCGGGUGUGAAGAAAGUCUUCGGAUUGUAAAGCACUUUAAGUUGGGAGGAAGGGUAUUCACCUAAUACGUGGGUACUUUGACGUUACCAACAGAAUAAGCACCGGCUAACUCUGUGCCAGCCGCCGCCGUAACAC
rnacentral:rRNA from 1 species